rnacentral:rRNA from 1 species
CCUACGGGUGGCAGCAGUGGGGAAUAUUGGACAAUGGGGGGAACCCUGAUCCAGCCAUGCCGCGUGUGUGAAGAAGGCCCUCGGGUUGUAAAGCACUUUCAGUGAGGAAGAACGCCUGGUGGUUAAUACCCAUCAGGAAAGACAUCACUCACAGAAGAAGCACCGGCUAACUCCGUGCCAGCAGCCGCGGUAAUACGGAGGGUGCGAGCGUUAAUCGGAAUUACUGGGUGUAAAGCGCGCGUAGGUGGCUUGAUAAGCCGGUUGUGAAAGCCCCGGGCUCAACCUGGGAACGGCAUCCGGAACUGUCAAGCUAGAGUGCAGGAGAGGAAGGUAGAAUUCCCGGUGUAGCGGUGAAAUGCGUAGAGAUCGGGAGGAAUACCAGUGGCGAAGGCGGCCUUCUGGACUGACACUGACACUGAGGUGCGAAAGCGUGGGUAGCAAACAGGAUUAGAUACCCUAGUAGUC